GGGGAUAUAGCUCAAGCGGUAGAGCGCAUGCUUAGUAUGUCCUGGGUUCAAUCCCCAGCACCUCCU
rnacentral:tRNA from 1 species